rnacentral:lncRNA from 1 species
GGGGAAAACUCUGACUGUUGUUUGUGCCUAUGCCCCAAACCGCAGUUCUGAGUAUUCGGCCUUCUUGGAGACCCUGAAUGGAGCCCUGCAGGUGGCUCCAGUAGGGGACUCCGUAGUCUUGCUGGGAGACUUCAACGCACACGUGGGAAACGAUGGAGACACCUGGAGAGGCGUGAUUGGGAGGAAGGGCCUCCCUGAUCUAAACCCGAACGGUCGUUUGUUGUUGGACUUCUGUGCUAGUCAUGGAAUGGCCAUAACAAACACCAUGUUCGAACAUAAGGAUGCUCAUAAGUGCACGUGGUACCAGAGCACCCUAGGCCAAAGGUCAAUGAUCGAUUUCGUAAUCGUAUCAUCUGAUCUGAGGCCGCAUGUUUUGGACACUCGGGUGAAGAGAGGGGCGGAGCUGUCGACUGAUCACCAUCUGGUGGUGAGUUGGAUCAAGGGGUGGGGGAAGACUCUGGACAGACCUGGUAAACCCAAACGGGUAGUGCGGGUGAACUGGGAACGUCUGGAGGAAGCCCCUGUCCUGGGGAUCUUUAACUCACACCUCCGGCGGAGCUUUUCAGCCAUCCCUGUGGAGGUUGGGGGCAUUGAACCUGAGUGGGCGAUGUUCAAAACCUCUAUUGCUGAAGCUGCGGUGAUGAGCUGUGGUCUCAAGGUCUUAGGUGCCUCAAGGGGCGGUAACCCUCGAACACCGUGGUGGACCCCGGUGGUCAGGGAAGCCGUCCGACUGAAGAAGGAGUCCUUCCGGGUUAUGUUAUCCGGGAGGACUCCGGAAACAGUUGCAGGGUAUCGAAGGACUAGAAGGGCGGCAGCUUCUGCCGUGUCAGAGGCAAAGCAGCGGGUGUGGGAGAAGUUCGGAGAAGCUAUGGAGAAGGACUUUCGGUCGGCACCAAGGUGCUUCUGGAAAACCAUCCGGCACCUCAGGAGGGGGAAGCGAGGAACCAUCCAAGCUGUGUACAGCAAGGGUGAGACCCUGCUGACUUCAACUGAGAAGGUUAUCGGCCGCUGGAAGGAGCACUUUGAGGAACUCCUGAAUCCGACUAACACGCCCUCUAUGGUUGAGGCAGAGCUGGAAGCUGAUGGGGGAUCAUCGUCAAUUUCCCUGAUGGAAGUCACUGAGGUAGUCAAACAACUCCACAGUGGCAAAGCCGCAGGGGUUGAUGAGAUCCGUCCAGAAAUGCUGAAGGCUUUGGGUGUUGAGGGGCUGUCUUGGUUGACACGCCUCGUCAACAUUGCGUGGAAGUCUGGGACAGUGCCUAGGGGUUGGCAGACCGGGGUGGUGGUUCCCCUAUUUAAAAAGGGGGACCAGAGAGUGUGUGCCAACUACAGGGGUAUCACACUUCUCAGCCUCCCUGGUAAAGUCUACUCCAAGGUACUGGAAAGGAGGGUUCGGCCGGUAGCCGAACCUCUGAUUGAAGAGGAACAAUGCGGAUUCCGUCCUGGUCGUGGAACAACAGACCAACUCUUUACUCUUGCAAGGAUCCUGGAGGGGGCCUGGGAGUACGCCCAUCCGGUCUACAUGUGUUUUGUGGAUCUGGAGAAGGCGUAUGACCGGGUCCCCCGGGUGAUACUGUGGGAGGUGCUGCGGGAGUAUGGGGUGAGGGGGUCACUUUUGAGGGCCAUCCAAUCCCUGUACGCCCAAAGCGAGAGUUG